rnacentral:rRNA from 1 species
UACGAAGGGGGCUAGCGUUGCUCGGAAUCACUGGGCGUAAAGGGUGCGUAGGCGGGUCUUUAAGUCAGGGGUGAAAUCCUGGAGCUCAACUCCAGAACUGCCUUGAUACUGAAGAUCUUGAGUUCGGGAGAGGUGAGUGGAACUGCGAGUGUAGAGGUGAAAUUCGUAGAUAUUCGCAAGAACACCAGUGGCGAAGGCGGACUGUCUGGUCCGGUUCUGACGCUGAG